GCUCCACCGAAAGAAAAAGAGUGGCGAACGGGUGAGUAACACGUGGGUAACCUGCCCAUCAGAAGGGGAUAACACUUGGAAACAGGUGCUAAUACCGUAUAACACUAUUUUCCGCAUGGAAGAAAGUUGAAAGGCGCUUUUGCGUCACUGAUGGAUGGACCCGCGGUGCAUUAGCUAGUUGGUGAGGUAACGGCUCACCAAGGCAACGAUGCAUAGCCGACCUGAGAGGGUGAUCGGCCACACUGGGACUGAGACACGGCCCAGACUCCUACGGGAGGCAGCAGUAGGGAAUCUUCGGCAAUGGACGAAAGUCUGACCGAGCAACGCCGCGUGAGUGAAGAAGGUUUUCGGAUCGUAAAACUCUGUUGUUAGAGAAGAACAAGGAUGAGAGUARAACGUUCAUCCCUUGACGGUAUCUAACCAGAAAGCCACGGCUAACUACGUGCCAGCAGCCGCGGUAAUACGUAGGUGGCAAGCGUUGUCCGGAUUUAUUGGGCGUAAAGCGAGCGCAGGCGGUUUCUUAAGUCUGAUGUGAAAGCCCCCGGCUCAACCGGGGAGGGUCAUUGGAAACUGGGAGACUUGAGUGCAGAAGAGGAGAGUGGAAUUCCAUGUGUAGCGGUGAAAUGCGUAGAUAUAUGGAGGAACACCAGUGGCGAAGGCGGCUCUCUGGUCUGUAACUGACGCUGAGGCUCGAAAGCGUGGGGAGCGAACAGGAUUAGAUACCCUGGUAGUCCACGCCGUAAACGAUGAGUGCUAAGUGUUGGAGGGUUUCCGCCCUU
rnacentral:rRNA from 1 species